rnacentral:rRNA from 1 species
UACGUAUGGGGCAAGCGUUAUCCGGAUUCAUUGGGCGUAAAGAGCGCGUAGGCGGAUUGUUAAGUCAGAUGUGAAAACCGGGGGCUCAACCCGCGGCCUGCAUCUCGAACUGGCAGACUUGAGUCUGGUAGAGGAAAGUGGAAUUCCCAGUGUAGCGGUGAAAUGCGCAGAUAUUGGGAGGAACACCAGUGGCGAAGGCGGCUUUCUGGGCCACGACUGACGCUGAGGCGCGAAAGCUAGGGGAGCAAACAGG